GACGAACGCUGGCGGCGUGCCUAAUACAUGCAAGUAGAACGCUGAAGGAGGAGCUUGCUCUUCUGGAUGAGUUGCGAACGGGUGAGUAACGCGUAGGUAACCUGCCUGGUAGCGGGGGAUAACUAUUGGAAACGAUAGCUAAUACCGCAUAAGAGUAGAUGUUGCAUGACAUUUGCUUAAAAGGUGCAAUUGCAUCACUACCAGAUGGACCUGCGUUGUAUUAGCUAGUUGGUGGGGUAACGGCUCACCAAGGCAACGAUACAUAGCCGACCUGAGAGGGUGAUCGGCCACACUGGGACUGAGACACGGCCCAGACUCCUACGGGAGGCAGCAGUAGGGAAUCUUCGGCAAUGGACGGAAGUCUGACCGAGCAACGCCGCGUGAGUGAAGAAGGUUUUCGGAUCGUAAAGCUCUGUUGUAAGAGAAGAACGAGUGUGAGAGUGGAAAGUUCACACUGUGACGGUAUCUUACCAGAAAGGGACGGCUAACUACGUGCCAGCAGCCGCGGUAAUACGUAGGUCCCGAGCGUUGUCCGGAUUUAUUGGGCGUAAAGCGAGCGCAGGCGGUUAGAUAAGUCUGAAGUUAAAGGCUGUGGCUUAACCAUAGUACGCUUUGGAAACUGUUUAACUUGAGUGCAAGAGGGGAGAGUGGAAUUCCAUGUGUAGCGGUGAAAUGCGUAGAUAUAUGGAGGAACACCGGUGGCGAAAGCGGCUCUCUGGCUUGUAACUGACGCUGAGGCUCAAAAGCGUGGGGAGCAAACAGG
rnacentral:rRNA from 1 species